AUGGGUGGGAAGUACUCCACACACCAUUUGUUUGAGCGAUUCCCAAAUUGAGCUAUAAUGGCGACAGUGGAGGAAGGUCCAUUGCCAUACAAUUUAUGGCAAGGAGAGAGCAGCAGCAGUUCUUCUUCUUCGAAUCCAUUAGAUGCAGUACUAUUUGGUGGAAUGAGUUUGUUAAUUGGAGUUUCAUGCAGAACCCUCCUUCGCCGUACUACUAUUCCCUAUACCGUCGUUUUGCUCAUAAUUGGCAUCGCUCUCGGCUCUCUCGAAUUUGGGAGUAUUUAUCGACUGGGAAAGCUUGGGAAUGGAAUUCGAAUAUGGGCAGAUAUAGAUGCUGAUCUUCUAUUAGCUGUAUUCCUCCCUAUACUGAUUUUUGAGGGUGCAUUCUCCAUGGAGGUGCACCAAAUAAAGAAAUGUAUGGCACAAAUGCUUUUGCUUGCUGGACCUGGUGUAUUGAUUUCAACAGUCCUGAUUGGAGCUGCUGUGAAGCUUGUUUUUCCAUUUGACUGGAACUGGAAGACAUCAUUAUUGUUGGGGGCAAUUCUUAGUGCUACUGAUCCUGUGGCUGUUGUCGCUUUGCUUAAGGAUCUCGGUGCUAGUAAAAAGUUGAGCACUAUCGUUGAAGGAGAAUCUAUGAUGAACGACGGGGCAGCUAUUGUGGUUUACCAGCUUUUCUAUCGAAUGGUUCUUGGGAAAAGUUCUGGCUGCAUUGCAGUGGUGGAAUAUCUUGCAGAAGGCUCACUUGGAUCUGUCAUGAUCGGACUUGUGUUUGGCAUAGCAUCUCUUCUCUGGCUUCGGUUUAUAUACAAUGACACACUGACAGACUUUUCGUUGGCUCUUACUGUGAGCUACAUUGCUUACUACACAGCUCAAGAGGAAGCUGAAGCUUCUGGUAUCUUGACUCUCGUGGCACUAGGGAUGGUUUUUGCAAUGUCAAAGGAUACCCAUAGAGCUGGGGGGAAGCAGAGCAUGCAUGAGUUUUGGGAAAUGAUUGCCUACAUUGCGAAUACUUUGAUAUUCAUAUUGAGUGGAGUUAUCAUAGCUCAAAGCAUCUUCAGUAUCGGAUAUCUCGACAACAAUACAGGGAGAUCGUGGGGCUAUGUCUUUCUUCUCUAUAUCAUUCUUCAAGUAGCUCGAACCAUAGUUGUUUUUUGCGUUCUAUCCUGCCCUUUGCUACUUCGGUUAUGGUUUGAAUUGGAAAGAAGCUAUCAUCAUCAUAUGGUCUGGUUUGAGAGGAGCUGUUGGUUUGGCACUCUCCCUAUCUAUUAAAGAUGCUAGUGGUGAUCCAAAGUAUCUCAGCUCAGAAACUGGAGCUAUGUUUGUUUUCCUCACUGGUGGAAGUGUGUUACUGACACUCAUUAUCAAUGGAUCUACCACACAAUUACUUCUAAGUCUCUUUGGUAUGGAUGCUCUAUCAGAAAGUGAGAAAAUCAUGGUCAAUUAUGCAAAGCAUCAACUAUUGAGAAAAGCUGAAGAGUUUUCCCGAAUCUGUAGUGGAAGCAAUAAUCCUUUUGAUUGGAUAACUGUUGGAGGUUAUGCCACAUGCAUAAAAGAUGUCUGUGAAGACACAGUUUGGCCUCCCUGUACCACCAAUCAUGGCUAUCUAGAAAUAAAUGAUAUGAAGACUAUGAGAGUAUGCUUUCUGAAAGCUACUCGUGAGGCUUACUGGUCAACAUUCAACGAGGGGAGGAUAACUGAAUCCAGUAUUAGUGUUUUGAUGGAGUCAAUAGAUGAGGCAAUCGAUCUGGCGACUCAGGGAUUACAUGACUGGAAUUAUAUUUCUACUCGCCUCAAGUUUCCAGGAUAUUAUAAAUUCUUCAGCACAAGUGUUUGUCCUCCCAGACUGACAAGGCGGUUUGUGCUAAAGAAAUUACAGGAUAGUUGUCAUAUAUGCUCUGCAUUUAUCCAUGCUCACAGAAUCGCAAGACAGCUUCUUCUUGACUAUACUGGUGAUAAUGGAAAUGCUGCAAUAGUUGUUGCUGAAAGUGAAGUCGAAGAACUAGAAGCAAGGAAGUUUCUAGAAAAUGUCAAGAAUUCAAUGCCUGAGAUCAUACAUCAAACCGAAUCAAGGCAAGUUACAUUUUCAAUGCUGAAGUGUCUGGAUAAAUGUCUCAGUAAUAUGGAGAAAGAUGGGAUUUUAACUGAGAAAGUUGUGCUGCAUGUACAUGAUUUGCUUCAGAAUGACCUUGAAAAGCUCUUGAGAAGUCCUCCUUCAGUAAGGAUCCCAAAGCCAAGAGAUGUCCUAAGUAUACAUCCUUUGUUGGCAAACCUUUCUCCUGCUAUUCAAAGUGAUUUGGAAUGCUCCGUGAACAGUAUAUUGAAGACACCAGGUUGUACACUCUACACCAAGGGUUCCAAGCUGACAAGUGUUUGGCUGAUAGGAAAUGGAUCAGUUAGGUCGAGAAGGAGCCCUUUUCCUAUUCAUUGUCAUGUGGAUUCAACAUAUCAUCGAGGAAGUGUUUUAGGUCUAUAUGAGGCUCUUGUCGGAAAGCCAUAUUUGAGCGAUAUGGUGACAGAUUCUGUGGCUCUCUGUGUCGAAAUUAAGCUGGAGUUGAUCAUUUCAGUACUGGCCCGUGGAAAUGGCAUAGAAGAACUGUUGUGGAAGGAGUGCACCAUUGUUGUGUCUAAGCUCUUGGCGCCUGAUAUGUUUAAGAAAUUCUCAAUGCAAGAAGUAAGAAGUAUUGUUGAUGAGAGAUCAGUCAUGAAUACUUUCUCAAGUCAAGAAGUAAUAGAAACUUCUCAUCUUUCUAUCAACUUCCUGUUAAGUGGUUGCUUGAGAGAUCAAAGUACCAAACAACUUAUUGAGUGCCCAGCAGUAUUACCAUGUUCCAUUUUGAGUGAAAGCAUCCCGUACAGCAGCGCCAAUGGAACGGCUGAGAGUUCUGGAUCAUGUUCUUAUUCAAAGUACAAAGUUGUGAAACCAGCAAGGAUAGUUCGAAUAGACAUUUCAGCAGUAUGAGAGUUGGCCAUGCAAAACUUUAGAAAGAAGCAAAAAAUUGGUAAGCCAAGGAGAUAACACAAUGUCUAACAUUGAAUUGCGUGGAUUAGUUGGUCGUAGCUUUUUCAUUUUUCAAGAGUGUACUUGCUGUCGUUCUAUGACUUCACUUUUCCAUCACGAAAAAGCUGUAAAGUUACUUGGCUUCAUUAUUCUCUAUGCCGGGGCUAAGAUUGUAUGCCCAUUCUAUUUCUGAUGUCAGUGCAAUUUACACUGCUUGAUAAUUUAUGUAAAAAGUCUGCAGUUGCAAUAUUA